rnacentral:lncRNA from 1 species
GGUUACUAUAUUUGAGACUUGGAAGUUUAUUGCUGAAUGAACUCCAGCAAUUUAGUACUUCAUUUGUAUCUUUGUAUGUACCUGAUUUUUUGAGGACCCAUUUUCAAUCUUGUUACUUUUCUGUCUUUUUUAUGCUCAUCUUACUAAGUUCAGCUCUGACUUUCAGGAUUAACAUGCCUUGUUGCAAGACAUUUAUGAAAACUUGACCUGAAUUCUUAUAAAUAGUCUUGUCUGCCUGCAUUUACGUAGAGAAAUUGUGAAUCCUCUCUUCACAUACUUGAAAAAUUGUUGCAUAAUGGAGCUUUUCUAACUCUUUGGCACGAGCUGCCCAUAUUUUUGGUGCAUUGACAAACUCAGUUUAUGAGGUCCACUUUUUCUAUCCAAGCAGAAGUUUCACUUCUAUCCUAUUGGACGACUUGAACAAGGGUAGCAACCACAAACCAAUAGAACAAGGGUUACCUCCGCAACUGUUCCACAAGCAAGGUAAGUAGGUCCAUUACCAAUCGUCUCCGAAAAUCUGUUUCAUGUAACUUGGCAGAGAAAUUUUGAGGUAUGGGUAUAGAAUCCUUUACGUGUUAAGACCGAUUGUUCAUGCAAUUUGGGAUCUUCACAUUGGUCAACCAGUUUUGAAAACUUUUAUUAGGGGAUGCUCUUGAUCCAGUAAAUAUCGCUUACUCUGAUGUGUUUAUCAGUGCUGGUAUACAAUCGGGUUGUGUAGGAAGAAGGAAAAGAGGCUCCUAGCUAAAGGUAGCUUGUCUCGCCCAGGGGGUGAGAACUGUUGAGAACAAAGUGGCGAACGGGUGCGUAACGCGUGGGAAUCUGCCGAACAGUUCGGGCCAAAUCCUGAAGAAAGCUAAAGAGUGAUGUUUGGUGAGCUUACGAAGUAUUAAUUGUAGUUUUACCAAUAUGUUCUUCAAUUUUCCUUUUUUCUUUUUUCACAGAAGAAAUAAGUUAAUUAAGUAAUAGAUCAUGUGUAUAUACAUAUUGGAA